CCCACGGGGCUAUAGCGUUAGAUAACGGCGAGUGAGCGGCAAAAGCUCAAAUUUGAAAUCUGGCACCUUCGGUGUCCGAGUUGUAAUUUGAAGAAGGUAACUUUGGAGUUGGCUCUUGUCUAUGUUCCUUGGAACAGGACGUCACAGAGGGUGAGAAUCCCGUGCGAUGAGAUGCCCAAUUCUAUGUAAAGUGCUUUCGAAGAGUCGAGUUGUUUGGGAAUGCAGCUCUAAGUGGGUGGUAAAUUCCAUCUAAAGCUAAAUAUUGGCGAGAGACCGAUAGCGAACAAGUACAGUGAUGGAAAGAUGAAAAGAACUUUGAAAAGAGAGUGAAAAAGUACGUGAAAUUGUUGAAAGGGAAGGGCUUGAGAUCAGACUUGGUAUUUUGCGAUCCUUUCCUUCUUGGUUGGGUUCCUCGCAGCUUACUGGGCCAGCAUCGGUUUGGAUGGUAGGAUAAUGACUAAGGAAUGUGGCUCUACUUCGGUGGAGUGUUAUAGCCUUGGUUGAUACUGCCUGUCUAGACCGAGGACUGCGUCUUUUGACUAGGAUGGUGGCAUAAGGAUCUUAAUCCUCCCCCCCCGAAACACCGGACCAACAAAAAAAUUUGUGCUGCUGCCCGAGGGAUGAAUACAACCCGUACCGUUGGCUUGCUUGCCAAGCAAACAUCGGACCAGUCUUUG
rnacentral:rRNA from 1 species